rnacentral:rRNA from 1 species
GGGUUGUGAGGUUAAGCGACUAAGCGUACACGGUGGAUGCCCUGGCAGUCAGAGGCGAUGAAGGACGUGCUAAUCUGCGAUAAGCGUCGGUAAGGUGAUAUGAACCGUUAUAACCGGCGAUUUCCGAAUGGGGAAACCCAGUGUGUUUCGACACACUAUCAUUAACUGAAUCCAUAGGUUAAUGAGGCGAACCGGGGGAACUGAAACAUCUAAGUACCCCGAGGAAAAGAAAUCAACCGAGAUUCCCCAGUAGCGGCGAGCGAACGGGGAGGAGCCCAGAGCCUGAAUCAGUGUGUGUGUUAGUGGAAGCGUCUGGAAAGGCGCGCGAUACAGGGUGACAGCCCCGUACACAAAAAUGCACAUACUGUGAGCUCGAUGAGUAGGGCGGGACACGUGGUAUCCUGUCUGAAUAUGGGGGGACCAUCCUCCAAGGCUAAAUACUCCUGACUGACCGAUAGUGAACCAGUACCGUGAGGGAAAGGCGAAAAGAACCCCGGCGAGGGGAGUGAAAAAGAACCUGAAACCGUGUACGUACAAGCAGUGGGAGCCUCUUUUAUGGGGUGACUGCGUACCUUUUGUAUAAUGGGUCAGCGACUUAUAUUCUGUAGCAAGGUUAACCGAAUAGGGGAGCCGAAGGGAAACCGAGUCUUAACUGGGCGUUAAGUUGCAGGGUAUAGACCCGAAACCCGGUGAUCUAGCCAUGGGCAGGUUGAAGGUUGGGUAACACUAACUGGAGGACCGAACCGACUAAUGUUGAAAAAUUAGCGGAUGACUUGUGGCUGGGGGUGAAAGGCCAAUCAAACCGGGAGAUAGCUGGUUCUCCCCGAAAGCUAUUUAGGUAGCGCCUCGUGAAUUCAUCUCCGGGGGUAGAGCACUGUUUCGGCAAGGGGGUCAUCCCGACUUACCAACCCGAUGCAAACUGCGAAUACCGGAGAAUGUUAUCACGGGAGACACACGGCGGGUGCUAACGUCCGUCGUGAAGAGGGAAACAACCCAGACCGCCAGCUAAGGUCCCAAAGUCAUGGUUAAGUGGGAAACGAUGUGGGAAGGCCCAGACAGCCAGGAUGUUGGCUUAGAAGCAGCCAUCAUUUAAAGAAAGCGUAAUAGCUCACUGGUCGAGUCGGCCUGCGCGGAAGAUGUAACGGGGCUAAACCAUGCACCGAAGCUGCGGCAGCGACGCUUAUGCGUUGUUGGGUAGGGGAGCGUUCUGUAAGCCUGUGAAGGUGUACUGUGAGGUAUGCUGGAGGUAUCAGAAGUGCGAAUGCUGACAUAAGUAACGAUAAAGCGGGUGAAAAGCCCGCUCGCCGGAAGACCAAGGGUUCCUGUCCAACGUUAAUCGGGGCAGGGUGAGUCGACCCCUAAGGCGAGGCCGAAAGGCGUAGUCGAUGGGAAACAGGUUAAUAUUCCUGUACUUGGUGUUACUGCGAAGGGGGACGGAGAAGGCUAUGUUGGCCGGGCGACGGUUGUCCCGGUUUAAGCGUGUAGGCUGGUUUUCCAGGCAAAUCCGGAAAAUCAAGGCUGAGGCGUGAUGACGAGGCACUACGGUGCUGAAGCAACAAAUGCCCUGCUUCCAGGAAAAGCCUCUAAGCAUCAGGUAACAUCAAAUCGUACCCCAAACCGACACAGGUGGUCAGGUAGAGAAUACCAAGGCGCUUGAGAGAACUCGGGUGAAGGAACUAGGCAAAAUGGUGCCGUAACUUCGGGAGAAGGCACGCUGAUAUGUAGGUGAAGCGACUUGCUCGUGGAGCUGAAAUCAGUCGAAGAUACCAGCUGGCUGCAACUGUUUAUUAAAAACACAGCACUGUGCAAACACGAAAGUGGACGUAUACGGUGUGACGCCUGCCCGGUGCCGGAAGGUUAAUUGAUGGGGUUAGCGGUAACGCGAAGCUCUUGAUCGAAGCCCCGGUAAACGGCGGCCGUAACUAUAACGGUCCUAAGGUAGCGAAAUUCCUUGUCGGGUAAGUUCCGACCUGCACGAAUGGCGUAAUGAUGGCCAGGCUGUCUCCACCCGAGACUCAGUGAAAUUGAACUCGCUGUGAAGAUGCAGUGUACCCGCGGCAAGACGGAAAGACCCCGUGAACCUUUACUAUAGCUUGACACUGAACAUUGAGCCUUGAUGUGUAGGAUAGGUGGGAGGCUUUGAAGUGUGGACGCCAGUCUGCAUGGAGCCGGCCUUGAAAUACCACCCUUUAAUGUUUGAUGUUCUAACGUUGGCCCCUGAUCGGGGUUGCGGACAGUGUCUGGUGGGUAGUUUGACUGGGGCGGUCUCCUCCUAAAGAGUAACGGAGGAGCACGAAGGUUGGCUAAUCCUGGUCGGACAUCAGGAGGUUAGUGCAAUGGCAUAAGCCAGCUUGACUGCGAGCGUGACGGCGCGAGCAGGUGCGAAAGCAGGUCAUAGUGAUCCGGUGGUUCUGAAUGGAAGGGCCAUCGCUCAACGGAUAAAAGGUACUCCGGGGAUAACAGGCUGAUACCGCCCAAGAGUUCAUAUCGACGGCGGUGUUUGGCACCUCGAUGUCGGCUCAUCACAUCCUGGGGCUGAAGUAGGUCCCAAGGGUAUGGCUGUUCGCCAUUUAAAGUGGUACGCGAGCUGGGUUUAGAACGUCGUGAGACAGUUCGGUCCCUAUCUGCCGUGGGCGCUGGAGAACUGAGGGGGCUGCUCCUAGUACGAGAGGACCGGAGUGGACGCAUCACUGGUGUUCGGGUUGUCAUGCCAAUGGCACUGCCCGGUAGCUAAAUGCGGAAGAGAUAAGUGCUGAAAGCAUCUAAGCACGAAACUUGCCCCGAGAUGAGUUCUCCCUGAGACUUUAAGUCUCCUGAAGGAACGUUGAAGACGACGACGUUGAUAGGCCGGGUGUGUAAGCGCAGCGAUGCGUUGAGCUAACCGGUACUAAUGAACCGUGAGGCUUAACCUUACAACGCCGAAGGUGUUU